rnacentral:tRNA from 1 species
AAGACUCUAGUAAAACAGAAAAUUAUUCUGCUUUGUCAAAGCAGUGUUGUGGGUUUAAACCCCACGUGUCUUG